UAGGGAAUCUUCGGCAAUGGGGGGAACCCUGACCGAGCAACGCCGCGUGAGUGAAGAAGGUUUUCGGAUCGUAAAGCUCUGUUGUUAAGGAAGAACGAGUGUGAGAAUGGAAAGUUCAUACUGUGACGGUACUUAACCAGAAAGGGACGGCUAACUACGUGCCAGCAGCCGCGGUAAUACGUAGGUCCCGAGCGUUGUCCGGAAUUAUUGGGCGUAAAGCGCGCGCAGGCGGACUAGCCAGUCAGUCUUAAAAGUUCGGGGCUUAACCCCGUGAUGGGAUUGAAACUACUAGUCUAGAGUAUCGGAGAGGAAAGUGGAAUUCCUAGUGUAGCGGUGAAAUGCGUAGAUAUUAGGAAGAACACCAGUGGCGAAGGCGACUUUCUGGACGAACACUGACGCUGAGGCGCGAAAGCCAGGGGAGCGAACGGG
rnacentral:rRNA from 1 species